rnacentral:tRNA from 1 species
UCCCUGGUGGCUCAGCUGGUAAAGAAUCUGCCUGCAAUGCAGGAAACCUGGGUUUGUUUCCUGGUUUGGGAA